rnacentral:rRNA from 1 species
GACGAACGCUGGCGGCGUGCUUAACACAUGCAAGUCGAACGGAAAGGCCCUGCUUUUGUGGGGUGCUCGAGUGGCGAACGGGUGAGUAACACGUGAGUAACCUGCCCUUGACUUUGGGAUAACUUCAGGAAGCUGGGGCUAAUACCGGAUAGGAGCUCCUGCUGCAUGGUGGGGGUUGGAAAGUUUCGGCGGUUGGGGAUGGACUCGCGGCUUAUCAGCUUGUUGGUGGGGUAGUGGCUUACCAAGGCUUUGACGGGUAGCCGGCCUGAGAGGGUGACCGGCCACAUUGGGACUGAGAUACGGCCCAGACUCCUACGGGAGGCAGCAGGGGGGAAUAUUGCACAAUGGGCGGAAGCCUGAUGCAGCAACGCCGCGUGCGGGAUGACGGCCUUCGGGUUGUAAACCGCUUUCGCCUGUGACGAAGCGUGAGUGACGGUAAUGGGUAAAGAAGCACCGGCUAACUACGUG